UGUGCGGUGGUCCUGCACAGCCCCUCAGCCCAAUUCACUGGCCGCUGGGACGAUCGGAGCUGCACGGAGGAGACCCAUGGCUUCAUCUGCCAGAAGGGCACGGGGCUGACACCUACCAAGCCUUGGUCUGGGCCAAGCGCCGAGCCUGGUGGAGACCUGGUCUUUGCCUGGGCUCUCGGCGGUACUCCUGGGUCUCAGAGGAGCCGCUGA
rnacentral:sRNA from 1 species